rnacentral:rRNA from 1 species
CAGCCGCCACGGGAAUACAGAGGGUGCAAGCGUUAAUCGGAUUUACUGGGCGUAAAGCGUGCGUAGGCGGCUUCUUAAGUCGGAUGUGAAAUCCCUGAGCUUAACUUAGGAAUUGCAUUCGAUACUGGGAAGCUAGAGUAUGGGAGAGGAUGGUAGAAUUCCAGGUGUAGCGGUGAAAUGCGUAGAGAUCUGGAGGAAUACCGAUGGCGAAGGCAGCCAUCUGGCCUAAUACUGACGCUGAGGUACGAAAGCAUGGGGAGCAAACAGGAUUAGAUACCCCGGUAGUCCCUGUCUCUUAUAC